rfam:Schistosoma rodhaini strain Burundi genome assembly, scaffold: SROB_scaffold0013270
AUCCAGCGGACGAGUUCCGCAUAGGAAGAAACGCGCGUCCUAGAU